AUGGCCACCGCCGUGGCGCCUGACCUCGUCGUCUCCUUCGGUGAGAUGCUAAUCGACUUCGUGCCUAACGUGGCCGGUGUCUCGCUUGCUGAGUCCGGAGGCUUCAUCAAGGCGCCAGGCGGCGCACCCGCCAACAUCGCAUGCACCGUCUCCAAGCUCGGCGGCUCCUACGCCUUCGUCCGCAAGGUACGCUACACACAGAUCAAGGAUUCUCCCUGUCCGAUAGAUCCAGAUCAAUCAUCGUCAGGUCCGACGGGGGAGCGCGAGUUCAUGUUCUACCGCAACCCCUCCGCUGACAUGUUCCUCACGGAGGAGGAGCUUGGUCUGGACCUCAUACACCGCGCCUGCAUCUUCCACUAUGGCUCCAUCUCGCUCAUAACUGACCCCUGGCGCUCCGCCCACGUCGCCGCCAUGUGCGCCACCAAGUCUGCCGGCAUCCUCUGCUCCUAUGACCUCAACGUGUGCCUCCCGCUCUGGCCCUCCACCCAGGUGGCCCACAACAGCAUCAUGAUCAUCUGGAAGGAGGCCGGCUUCAUCAAGGUCAGUGACGACGAGGUGGCCUUUCUCAUCCAGGGCGACGCCAACGACGAGAAGAACAUCAUGUCGCACUACUGCCGCUCAUUUACAGAGCACUAA
rnacentral:rRNA from 1 species